rnacentral:rRNA from 1 species
CCUACGGGUGGCAGCAGUGGGGAAUAUUGCACAAUGGGGGAAACCCUGAUGCAGCGACGCCGCGUGAGUGAAGAAGUAUCUCGGUACGUAAAGCUCUAUCAGCAGGGAAGAAAAUGACGGUACCUGACUAAGAAGCCCCGGCUAACUAGGUGCCAGCAGCCGCGGGAAUACGUAGGGGGAAAGCGGUAUCCGGAUUUACUGGGUGUAAAGGGAGCGUAGACGGCAGCACAAGUCUGGAGUGAAAUCCCGGGGCUUAACCCCGGAACUGCUUUGGAAACUGUGCGGCUGGAGUGCAGGAGGGGUAAGCGGAAUGCCUAGUGUAGCGGUGAAAUGCGUAGAUAUUAGGAGGAACACCGGUGGCGAAGGCGGCUUACUGGACUGUAACUGACGUUGAGGCUCGAAAGCGUGGGGAGCAAACAGGAUUAGAUACCCCGGUAGUC